rnacentral:tRNA from 1 species
UAAUUAAGUGUUUACGCACAUUGAUUUUUCACGUCAAAAGAGCAUAUAUAUGCAUUUAGCU